rnacentral:rRNA from 1 species
GAUGAACGCUGGCGGCGUGCUUAACACAUGCAAGUCGAACGAUGAUCCGGUGCUUGCAUUGGGGAUUAGUGGCGAACGGGUGAGUAACACGUGAGUAACCUGCCCUUAACUCUGGGAUAAGCCUGGGAAACUGGGUCUAAUACCGGAUAUGACUCCUCAUCGCAUGGUGGGGGGUGGAAAGCUUUUGUGGUUUUGGAUGGACUCGCGGCCUAUCAGCUUGUUGGUGAGGUAAUGGCUCACCAAGGCGACGACGGGUAGCCGGCCUGAGAGGGUGACCGGCCACACUGGGACUGAGACACGGCCCAGACUCCUACGGGAGGCAGCAGUGGGGAAUAUUGCACAAUGGGCGGAAGCCUGAUGCAGCGACGCCGCGUGAGGGAUGACGGCCUUCGGGUUGUAAACCUCUUUCAGUAGGGAAGAAGCGAAAGUGACGGUACCUGCAGAAGAAGCGCCGGCUAACUACGUGCCAGCCGCCGCCGUAAAAC